rnacentral:rRNA from 1 species
UACGUAGGGUGCAAGCGUUGUCCGGAAUUAUUGGGCGUAAAGAGCUCGUAGGCGGUCUGUCGCGUCGGAUGUGAAAAUCCAGGGCUCAACCCUGGACCUGCAUUCGAUACGGGCAGACUAGAGUUCGGUAGGGGAGACUGGAAUUCCUGGUGUAGCGGUGAAAUGCGCAGAUAUCAGGAGGAACACCGGUGGCGAAGGCGGUUCUCUGGGCAUUACCUGACGCUGAGGAGCGAAAGUGUGGGGAACGAACAGG